GCCACAGUGGUCUAGCAGUUAGAACGCUGGCCUUGUAAUCCUGGGGUCUCGGGUUCGAUUCCCGGCGGUGCCC
rfam:Zootermopsis nevadensis contig18987, whole genome shotgun sequence.